rnacentral:rRNA from 1 species
GACGAACGCUGGCGGCGUGCCUAAUACAUGCAAGUCGAACGCUGAAGGAGGAGCUUGCUUCUCUGGAUGAGUUGCGAACGGGUGAGUAACGCGUAGGUAACCUGCCUGGUAGCGGGGGAUAACUAUUGGAAACGAUAGCUAAUACCGCAUAAUAUUGACUAUUGCAUGAUAGUCAGUUGAAAGGUGCAACUGCACCACUACCAGAUGGACCUGCGUUGUAUUAGCUAGUUGGUGGGGUAACGGCUCACCAAGGCGACGAUACAUAGCCGACCUGAGAGGGUGAUCGGCCACACUGGGACUGAGACACGGCCCAGACUCCUACGGGAGGCAGCAGUAGGGAAUCUUCGGCAAUGGACGGAAGUCUGACCGAGCAACGCCGCGGGAGUGAAGAAGGUUUUCGGAUCGUAAAGCUCUGUUGUAAGAGAAGAACGAGUGUGAGAGUGGAAAGCUCACACUGUGACGGUAUCUUACCAGAAAGGGACGGCUAACUACGUG